GGGCGCUUAGCUCAGUUGGCUAGAGCAUCUCGUUUACACCGAGAGGGUCGGGGGUUCGAGUCCCUCAGCGCCUA
rnacentral:tRNA from 1 species